AAUAGAUACCCAGGUAGUCCUGGCCUUAAACGAUGAUCACUAGGUGUAGGAGGCUUCGACCCCUUCUGCGCCGCCGCUAACGCAUUAAGUGAUCCGCCUGGGGAGUACGGCCGCAAGGUUAAAACUCAAAGGAAUUGACGGGGGCCCGCACAAGCAGUGGAGCAUGUGGUUUAAUUCGAUGCUACGCGAAAAACCUUACCAGGGUUUGACAUCCCGGUGAAACCCCAUAGAAAUAUGGGGCCCCUUCGGGCACCGGUGACAGGUGGUGCAUGGUUGUCGUCAGCUCGUGCCUUGAGGUGUUGGAUUAAGUUCCGCAACGAGCGCAACCCUCGUUGCUAGUUGCCAUCAUUAAGUUGGGCACUCUAGCGAGACUGCCAGCGUCAAGGCUGGAGGAAGGUGGGGAUGACGUCAAAUCAUCAUGCCCCCUUACAUCCUGGGCUACACACGUGCUACAAUGGCCGGUACAACAGGUUGCUACCUCGCGAGAGGAUGCGAAUCCCCAAAGCCGGUCUCAGUUCGGAUUGCAGGCUG
rnacentral:rRNA from 1 species